UACGUACAUCUCUUCAACCGAAUUGUUGUAUUUCCCUCGUGAAUCAGUUCUCCCCAAAACUUCACUCUCUCUCCCUUUCUCCCUCACCGAACACCCCCUUCAUUUUUUUUCUCCCCGUUUCUGUCUUCCCUGCUCUUUCUCGUCGGUCGUCUGGUCGUCUCUUUGGCCCGACACUCCCUCUCUCCCCUUCUCUCCAUUUUUUUCAUUUUUCUUCUAGUUCUCUUCCUUUUUUCGUUACCCCAGGGCUGUCGAAGUUGGGAAUAUGAUUCUCCUAAGAAGGAGCAGUCGAUUUGCAAGAGAGAAUCGAUUUUAAUCAACUGGCAAUGCCUCUAUUAGGGUUCUAUUGUGCUUCAUAGAGGUGCAAGGUAUGCACUCUGAUGUUGUGACUUUGCCAAAGGCUAGCAUAUGGCAAGAGGCUUCGCAGAUUGUUGGUGAAGAAGGAUUCAGAGCUUUUUGGAAGGGGAAUCUAGUUACAAUUGCUCAUCGUAUGGUUGAUUACUGUUUGGUUGCUAAUGCAGGGUGUUGGGCCAAGUAUAGCAAUCAGUUUUUCAAUAUAUGAGACCUUGAGAUCUUUCUGGAAAUUGCAUAGGCCCGGUGAUUCUACUGUCCUUGUAAGUCUGACUUGUGGAAGUCUUUCAGGAAUUGCAUCAUCAACAAGUGACUGAUCUUAGACCUGCUACAUUCGAAGCUUUUUAUGAGUUUUGAGAGUGCUUCUAUGUUUCUUGUUAUUUUGGUCUAAAAAAUAUUGUCCAUCACAUGAGCAUGAUAACACAACUCAUUGCUGUAGUUGUGAACGUCUAGAGGUAAUCAUCCAAGAUGCAGAUUAAUUCAAAUUAAUAUGCAUACCUUUUCCCCCCUAUUUUUGUCUCCUUGAAGUCACAAGAUACUACUCUCUGGAAGAUGGGCGACAUUUAUGCUUAGAGUGCAUGGAAUCUGCUAUCAUGGAUGCUGGUGAUUGUCAACCCCUUUACCAUGCCAUAAGAGAUUAUUAUGAAGGACUGAACAUGAAAUUAGAUCAACAAAUUCCAAUGCUUUUGGUUGAAAGACAAGCACUUAAUGAAGCCAUUGUUGGGGAGAAGAAUGUAAUAAAUGAUCUCUUGGUGUCUGUAUUUUAUUUACUUUUUCAUGAAAAUUCUCAUAUUCUGAAAUGUGAGGCCUUUGUAUUAUAGGUUGAUGUUAUGAAAUGUUAUUAUUGAUCUUUCUUUCA